ensembl:lncRNA
UUUAUUUUCUUUCUUUCCUGUUUUUAUGUUGAUAUUGCAUACGUGUCACUGAUUGAAAUGGAAGGAGGGAAUACCACUUUAUUGAAGCAUCGGGUGCCAUCCUCUGGGUCUUCCAAUCACCAGAACUCUGUGCUGAAAGAGCACAAGUUGCACAGCGCCCCCAACAGGAGCCAAGCGGGACAGGCGUCUGAAGCUGGGAGUUUGGAUGGCAGAAAUUCCGUUACCCAGGCGACAGGGCGCAGAGGGGACCACCGGGGGCAGAACAAGACCUCCCACUCCCCGGGUCACAGCAGCGACUCCACACACUCCCAGCACAACCACAGUCACAGAAGCAGGACGUCCCGCCACCAGAAGAGAACAAAGAGUGCACACUCUUCUAAGAAGCACCAUCAUUCUGGGCGUGGACAGACGCACCACCGCAGCCAGUCUCCAUCUCCGGGACACCACUCGUCAGGGAAGAAGAGGGCGGAGUCUCGAGGAAAGAGCCUGAGACAGAGGAGCAGCUCCUGGAGCAGUGCACGCUCCUCCUCCCGCUCGGCCUCCAGAGACAGAGGCCCCAGCAAGAACAAGUCCCCACACAGACAGAACAACUCCAGGGAGAGGGACAGUGCAAACCGCUCAGACACAGACAGCAGAGCGAGACGCCGCUCACGAAGCUACUCACCCAUCCGCAAAAGAAGAAGAGAUUCACCCAGUUUCAUGGAGGCUCGCCGGAUCACCAGCGCUCGUAAACGGCCCAUCCCAUAUUACCGUCCCAGCCCGUCCUCCUCUAGCUCUGGCAGCACCGCGUCCAGCCGCAGCCGCAGUCGGAGCUACAGCAGCCGCAGCCGCAGUCGCAGUUGGAGUCGCAGCUGGAGUCGAAGCCGCUCACGCACACACCACAGCUACUACACCCACAGCAGUGAUGACAGCCCAGGAUUCUGAGUCGCUCCACCCAAAUGCACUGAAGUAUGGGACUGUGCUGCAGAGGAGGAGGGAGGAAUACACCAGGACUUCCAUGUUUAUGUAUACCAGUGUUUCCCAACCAGCCACACAAGGACCUCUGGGGGUCUGCAAGCACUUACCAGAGGGUACUUGGA